UGCUCCGCUUUUUGAUUUGUGGUUGCUAUUGAUUUUUGAUUUUUUGCCCUAAUUUUCAAUUGAAUGAAUUGGAAACAGUGAAUGAAUUUGCAAUUGAAUGAAUUGGAAACAGUGCAUUCUGUAAAUUUGAGAUCAGUUAAAUUUUGUGCAUUCUGUUGCAUUCUGAUUAUUGGAGUCCUUUGUGAAACCUAGUAAAUAGAAUGCAUUCUGUUCCAAAAUGAAAUGGAGAACGAACCCAGACAGCAAGAGCUUUUUCCAUAAUGCAUUGCAGAGUCACACAUAUGCAGACAACAGUUUUUUUCAAUCCACCUCCAUUCAGGUUGAGGAUCAUGGUCUCAGUAUUUGCAGCAAGGAAAAGGUUGGGUUUGGCUGUGUAGAUUCUCUAGAUGUUGAACAUGG
rnacentral:lncRNA from 1 species